AUGGCUGUCGUCAGCUCGUGCCGUGAGGUGUUGCCUUAAGUGGCGCAACGAGCGCAACCCCUGUCCUUAGUUGCCAGCGGGUAAUGCCGGGAACUCUAGGGAGACUGCCGGUGCCAAACCGGAGGAAGGUGGGGAUGACGUCAAGUCAUCAUGCCCCUUAUAUCCAGGGCUGCACGCAUGCUACAAUGCGCGAUACAGAGGGCUGCGAUCCCGUAAGGGGGAGCGAAUCCCAAAAAGUCGCGCUCAGUUCGGAUCGAGGUCUGCAACCCGACCUCGUGAAGUCGGAGUCGCUAGUAAUCGCAGAUCAGCAAUGCUGCGGUGAAUACGUUCCCGGGCCUUGUACACACCGCCCGUCACACCACGAAAGUGGGCAACACCCGAAGCCGGUGGCCUAACCCUUGUGGAGGGAGCCGUCGAAGGUGGGGCUCGCGAUUGGGGUGAAGUCGUAACAAGGUAGCCGUACCGGAAGGUGCGGCUGGAUCACCUCCUUUCUAAGGAGCCUUUGGCAUUUGUCUUGAUCGGUCAUCCGUACCGAUCAGACGAGACUCCAAGGUCGAUGCACUGGCAAUCUCUCAUUGAAACUUAACUGGGGGAGCACACUGUUCAGCUUUGAGGGUGCGAGCCCUCUGAGCACCUUGAGAACUCGAUAGCGAGCGCGAGCAUCUACAGUCAAGUUAUAAAGGGCUUACGGUGGAUGCCUUGGCGUCAGGAGCCGAUGAAGGACGCGUCUGGCUGCGAAAAGCUUCGGGGAGCUGCCUAGAGAGCUUUGAUCCGAAGGUGUCCGAAUGGGGAAACCCGG
rnacentral:sRNA from 1 species